CCUAUACAUGCAGUCGAACGAAACUUUUCCUUACACCGAAUGCUUGCAUUACACCGUAAGAAGUUGAGUGGCGGACGGGUGAGUAACACGUGGGUAACCUGCCUAAAAGAAGGGGAUAACACUUGGAAACAGGUGCUAAUACCGUAUAUCUCUAAGGAUCGCAUGAUCCUUAGAUGAAAGAUGGUUCUGCUAUCGCUUUUAGAUGGACCCGCGGCGUAUUAACUAGUUGGUGGGGUAACGGCCUACCAAGGUGAUGAUACGUAGCCGAACUGAGAGGUUGAUCGGCCACAUUGGGACUGAGACACGGCCCAAACUCCUACGGGAGGCAGCAGUAGGGAAUCUUCCACAAUGGACGCAAGUCUGAUGGAGCAACGCCGCGUGAGUGAAGAAGGUCUUCGGAUCGUAAAACUCUGUUGUUAGAGAAGAACACGAGUGAGAGUAACUGUUCAUUCGAUGACGGUAUCUAACCAGCAAGUCACGGCUAACUACGUGCCAGCAGCCGCGGUAAUACGUAGGUGGCAAGCGUUGUCCGGAUUUAUUGGGCGUAAAGGGAACGCAGGCGGUCUUUUAAGUCUGAUGUGAAAGCCUUCGGCUUAACCGGAGUAGUGCAUUGGAAACUGGAAGACUUGAGUGCAGAAGAGGAGAGUGGAACUCCAUGUGUAGCGGUGAAAUGCGUAGAUAUAUGGAAGAACACCAGUGGCGAAAGCGGCUCUCUGGUCUGUAACUGACGCUGAGGUUCGAAAGCGUGGGUAGCAAACAGGAUUAGAUACCCUGGUAGUCCACGCCGUAAACGAUGAAUGCUAGGUGUUGGAAGGGUUUCCGCCCUUCAGUGCCGCAGCUAACGCAAUAAGCAUUCCGCCUGGGGAGUACGACCGCAAGGUUGAAACUCAAAGGAAUUGACGGGGGCCCGCACAAGCGGUGGAGCAUGUGGUUUAAUUCGAAGCAACGCGAAGAACCUUACCAGGUCUUGACAUCCUUUGACCACCUAAGAGAUUAGGUUUUCCCUUCGGGGACAAGUGACAGGUGGUGCAUGGCUGUCGUCAGCUCGUGUCGUGAGAAGUUUGGGUUAAAUCCCGCAACGAGCGCAACCCUUGUUGUCAGUUGCCGCCAUUAAAUUGGGCACUCUUGCCAGACUGCCCGUGACAACCCGAAGAAAGGUGGGGACAAACUCCAGUCUCCAGCCCCCUUUUAACCGGGGGACCCCCUGCUUCCAUGGAGGGUCACAAAUCGCCGAACGCCGGGUUUACUUAUUUUUUAAAGCGUUUUU
rnacentral:rRNA from 1 species